AUAAACGCUGGCGGCGUGCCUAAAACAUGCAAGUCGAACGGCCCAUUUUGGUGGGUAGUGGCGAACGGCUGAGUAACACGUGGGUGACCUGCCUUCGAGCGGGGGAUAACUGCCCGAAAGGGUGGCUAAUACCGCAGAUGUCGGUUCUUCGUUGAGCUGACUGAACCGAAUUUAGGGUUCGGAGAGGGGCCUGCGUCCGAUUAGCUAGCUGGUGGGGUAACGGCCUACCAGGGCGACGAUCGGUAGCUGGUCUGAGAGGAUGAUCAGCCAGACUGGGACUGCGAGACGGCCCAGACUCCUACGGGAGGCAGCAGUUAGGAAUUUUGGGCAAUGGGCGAAAGCCUGACCCAGCAACGCCGCGUGGGCGAAGAAGGCCUUCGGGUCGUAAAGCCCUUUUCCAGGGGAAGAUAGUGACGGUACCCUGGGAAUCAGCCCCGGCUAACUACGU
rnacentral:rRNA from 1 species